CUGGGUCAAGGCUGUAGCUUGGAAGUGCCCUUAGGCUGAAACCUGGGGUCUCCUGGCAACCACAGCCCCUCACUGGCUGUCUGAGGAUCCUAGCAUGAGGCUGAGGGGGCACUGAACAGAGGAGGCCUGAUGGGAGGUGUUGUGUGCCCAGGUUCACCUCGGUGGUCUGCAGGAGGAGAACAUCUUCAACAGAAUGGGCUCUUCUUCAUGUACUAUUGUGGAUGUAUUUUAUCAAGUACAAUUCCUUGGCAAAAGGAAGAUUGGUUUGGAUUUCACGUGCAGUAGCUGGCAAGAUAUGUGCUGUGCCUCAGCCUGUGGAAGAGUGGACCCAAAUGAGGUCCAACACCACAAAGGUGUUCAGCUCUCACAUCAGCAUUGACCCAGCCUGGAAAAUAGGAUGGCUUUCUGUACUGAUGGGAUCCAGCAGACUGUUUUACUUAAUGCCAAUGCAAAUCUCUAAAACUUGCACUGCUUCAAGAGCGCUUGUCAAAACACAGAGUGAAAUCAAGGAAGUCUUAAAACCAGAGAAAUGUGUUUAUUAUACAGGUUUCUACCGGGUCACUAAUCUACAUUGGUUGCACCAGAGAAAAUUUGCUAGUAUAAACAAAUCCCGAGUGACAGACCAGGCUACAUCCCAAGCUCUGCUCUAAAUUGCUGUUCACUUUUUUCCUAAGUCUUUGUCUUUCUCUCAUUUUCUUUCUCUCUCAUUUCUUUUUUCUUUCUUCAUGUAGAGAGGAGAAAUCAUUGCUAAUGAAUUGCAAGCAUGGGGUAUGGGAAGAUCAGUUAAUAUGGCCCAAAUAUUCAGUAAUACAAAUACAUUAAAGUGAUCAAACAAUGAAUGAAAAUUGACCCAGAGAGCAGGUUCCACUGAGAAAACAUGUGAGAAUCUAAAUUAAUGUGACUUGAUGAAACUUGAAAUGUCAUAACACAGCAGGGCACACAACACAUCAGAGGAAAUGUGAAAAUUAUACUUUUUCCUGAAAUCAUAGUUUUCAAAAAUAAGUGGCUUUUAAAUUCUUCUAAAAAUAUAAUAAAGGAAUUAGUGUCAAGAAAAAGGUUAUUGUUGUUUAUCAGACUGCAGGCUCAGUCCAUGGUGGCUUUUCACAAAUAACCUCUUUUCUUUCUCUGA